rnacentral:rRNA from 1 species
AGUGAACGCUGGCGGUAGGCCUAACACAUGCAAGUCGAACGGCAGCACAGGAGAGCUUGCUCUCUGGGUGGCGAGUGGCGGACGGGUGAGGAAUACAUCGGAAUCUACUUUUUCGUGGGGGAUAACGUAGGGAAACUUACGCUAAUACCGCAUACGACCUACGGGUGAAAGCAGGGGAUCUUCGGACCUUGCGCGAUUGAAUGAGCCGAUGUCGGAUUAGCUAGUUGGCGGGGUAAAGGCCCACCAAGGCGACGAUCCGUAGCUGGUCUGAGAGGAUGAUCAGCCGCACGGGAGCUGAGGCACGGUCCAGACUCCUACGGGAGGAAGCAGUGGGGAGUAUUGGACAAUGGGCGCAAGCCUGAUCCAGCCAUACCGCGGGGGUGAAGAAGGCCUUCGGGUUGUAAAGCCCUUUUGUUGGGAAAGAAAUCCAGCUGGUUAAUACCCGGUUGGGAUGACGGUACCCAAAGAAUAAGCACCGGCUAACUUCGUGCCAGCAGCCGCCGUAA